UAGUCCGUGCCGUAAACGAUGAGUGCUAGGUGUCGGGGGUCAAACCUCGGUGCCGGAGUUAACAUAUUAAGCACUCCGCCUGGGGGUACGUUCGCAAGAAUGAAACUCAAAGGAAUUGACGGGGACCCGCACAAGCAGCGGAGCAUGUGGUUUAAUUCGAAGCAACGCGAAGAACCUUACCAGGACUUGACAUCCCUCUGACCGGUAUAGAGAUAUACCCUUCCCUUCGGGGACAGAGGUGAC
rnacentral:rRNA from 1 species